GUCUUUUAGAUUAUAUUAAAAGUCUAAUCUGCCCAAUGAUUUUUUAAUGGCCGCGGUAAACUGACCGUGCGAAGGUAGCAUAAUAAUUAGUCUUUUAAUUGAAGGCUUGAAUGAAUGAUUGGAUGAAAAGCUAUCUUUAUUAAUUUAAAAAUUUUAAUUUAACAUUUAAGUAAAAAGGCUUAAAUAUUUUAGUGGGACGAGAAGACCCUAUAGAAUUUAAAAUUCAUAUUUAUUAGAUACAUUUAGAUCAAUAUUGAAUUUAAUAACUAAGUAUUUUUUGUUGGGGUGACAUUAAAAUAUUAAUAACUUUUAAUUAAAUUUUCAUAGAUUAGUGAUAAUUAGAUCCAAAUUUUUUGAUUUCAAGAUUAAAUUACCUUAGGGAUAACAGCGUUAUUAUUUUAAAAAGUUCUUAUUGAUAAAAUUAGAUUGCGACCUCGAUGUUGGAUUAAGAAAAGAGCUUGGUGCAAGCUUUAAG
rnacentral:rRNA from 1 species